rnacentral:misc_RNA from 1 species
GGCAGUAAAAGCGUAACAAGGUUUCCGUAGGUGAACCUGCGGAAGGAUCAUUAUUGUAUAACCGAGGUGCGAGGGCUGUCGCUGACCCGAAAGGUCGUGCACGCCCGAGUGCCCUCACACACAUCCAUCUCACCCCUAUGUGCACCACCGCGUGGGUCCCCCUUUGGCUUGUUCGGAGGGGGGCUUACGUUUUCACACAAACUUUGUAUGCAGUGUAGAAUGUAUUUUUUGUUUUUGCGAUCACGCAAUCAAUACAACUUUCAACAACGGAUCUCUUGGCUCUC